rnacentral:rRNA from 1 species
CUACCAUGGCAGUCACGGGUAACGGGGAAUUAGGGUUCGAUUCCGGAGAGGGAGCCUGAGAAACGGCUACCACUUCUAUGGAAGGCAGCAGGCGCGUAAAUUACCCAAUUCUGACUCAGAGAGGUAGUGACAAGAAAUAACGGGCUGGGACUCUGUCCCGGGACUGCAAUGAGGCGAAUUUACACAACUUACCGAGCAUCAAUUGGAGGGCAAGUCUGGUGCCAGCAGCCGCGGUAAUUCCAGCUCCAAUAGCGUAUAUUAAAGUUGUUGCAGUUAAAAAGCUCGUAGUUGGACUUCUGCGAUGUUGCCAAUGCCCGCCAUGUUGUGUGCGCAGCGGCGCCCUCUCAUCCCUCUGUUAACGUCUCUCGGCAUUCACUUGCCGGUGGCGGGCUCAGAUAUUUUACCUUGAGAAAAUUAGAGUGUUUCAGGCAGGCUAGGCCGGAAUACAUUAGCAUGGAAUAAUGGAAUAGGACUUCGGUCUCUUUGUUGGUUUGAGGGACUGCAGUAAUGAUUAAUAGGGAUAGUUGGGGGCAUUAGUAUUUAAUUGUCAGAGGUGGAAUUCUCGGAUUUGUUAAAGACUAACUUAUGCGAAAGCAUUUGCCAAGGAUGUUUUCAUUAAUCAA